UUGAACGCUGGCGGCAGGCCUAACCCAUGCAAGUCGAACGGUAACAGGAAGCAGCUUGCUGCUUCGCUGACGAGUGGCGGACGGGUGAGUAAUGUCUGGGAAACUGCCUGAUGGAGGGGGAUAACUACUGGAAACGGUAGCUAAUACCGCAUAACGUCGCAAGACCAAAGAGGGGGACCUUAGGGCCUCUUGCCAUCGGAUGUGCCCAGAUGGGAUUAGCUAGUAGGUGGGGUAACGGCUCACCUAGGCGACGAUCCCUAGCUGGUCUGAGAGGAUGACCAGCCACACUGGAACUGAGACACGGUCCAGACUCCUACGGGAGGCAGCAGUGGGGAAUAUUGCACAAUGGGCGCAAGCCUGAUGCAGCCAUGCCGCGUGUAUGAAGAAGGCCUUCGGGUUGUAAAGUACUUUCAGCGGGGAGGAAGGGAGUAAAGUUAAUACCUUUGCUCAUUGACGUUACCCGCAGAAGAAGCACCGGCUAACUCCGUG
rnacentral:rRNA from 1 species